AUUCAUUCUUUCUGCAGACAUUGCAGUCCCAUAUUCCCUGCCCUCUCCUUACCCUUGGUUCUUACUGGAGGCUGGAGUGAAGUUCCAGUGUCCCAGAUGAUAGCUCCUGAAAGUAAAAUGUUCCACAAACCUGUUAAUGACUCAGAAAGAGAAGAACUCAAGAAGGAGGGUGAUGGGAUGUCCUAGGAACCAAACCCAAGAGUCUGUAACAACUGAUGCUGGCUGGCUGACAGGACAAGGGAAGAUGAAUAUUUAGAGUAGACACCUGCAAUUUGGUCCUUAUGGCUCUAAUGUUGAUAACGAAGACACAGAUUGAAUUUUACAGAGAGGACUUAUAUAUAAAGUGAAGAAUUUCUUGGCAGUAAAAGAGAAAAUAAUGUGAAUAGCUGGCUAAGCAAAGCCUUUGUUUCUGUACAUUUUAAAUAAAGAGGUUCUUGUUUUUGAAGGCACCUGCAAGGGGCCAAAUACCUUUGUUCUUGUGGGGA